UUAUUUUAAAUCUGAAGUGACAAAUCCUAACUUGUGCAUGUUGUAGAUCACUGGUAAUGCUAUCUUGAAGUCGAGGUAGAUCUUAAUAGGCCAUUGACUCCAGUCAGGUCGCCUGCCAUAAAUUCAUUUUGUUGGAAGAGCUGCAAGGAGAUCAAAUUUGACUCGGAUAAACUUUCAAUGUUUUUAUAUGGCUAUUCUUGAGAAGGACGAUGAAAUCAUCUCUGCGGCAUCUCUGAGAAAACAUGGGACAAAGAUUGUGGAGAUGCCCUUUGUUACAACACAUGAAAAAUAUAGGCAUCAAGGGAGGUGGUGAAAGCUUCUUCUUGCGGUUGAAUCUGUAUAUAAUUCAAGCAAGUUCUUUUGUUUUCCACAAGUGGCACUCAGGUCCAGGUGCAUUUGGCCUCACUUCUCUAAAUUAUUAAGCAGCGCUCAUGGUUGCUCAAAAAAUAAGCAGUGGGUAAGUGCUGCAACAGAUGAAUAUUUUGACACUGGCAAAGCUUAUGCCAUAAGAGAGAUUACAUGCUGAUAAAAAAUAACUUCAAAUAAUACUCAUUUAGAAGAUACGAGAGUUAUAUGCCAAUAAUUUACAAGACUUAGAAAACAUAUUUAACAGAGUUGCAUCAUAAGGAUUACAUGGUUAUACAAGAAGUACACUUGAUCCCCCUACUUGAUCCCACAAAUGGCAAGUGCAUAUUAUGUUAAAUUGAGCUGACUUCAAUGAGACACGAUGAAAUGUUGUUGAAGACUCCACCAUUCCUUGAAUUUAACCAUACUAAUGAUACAUUGUGAAAUGUUGUUGAAGACUCCACCAUAAGUUCUACCAAAGAUUUUGAGCACUUGGAUAGAAUAAUCAAAGUAAGAAAGCUUGGAGGAGGAUUCUCUUGGUCUCUAAUCUGCAAACAGAUCCAAUGUUGGCUCCACAUAUCGAUAAUUUGCAUCAGCUUGAGCUUGUAGAAUAUAACUGCAAGAUUGCUGUUGUGUGGGAAUGAUGAAUGAAUCUUUUGAUCCAAUCAUUGACCGUCACACUAAGGGAAAUGUGAUUCAAAGAAUCACUGUCAUAUACAAUCAAGGGUAAGAAACUUUUUUUGUAGUUAAACGUAGCAUUAAAAGAAAUAAAAUAAAAUAAAAAAGGACCUAGCCAAGGACAUACCAUCUUCGGCAGACAAAUUGAAUGAAUGCCUUUCUUUCUCCAUCCACAUGCUGAAAAACAUAUAUAGUUAGAUUAUUAGUAGUUCAUGAUUGAUUUUCUGAUUCAAGAA